AUGCUCUCUCCCGAAGAGUUGGAAGAUUGGCAUCAUAUUACUGCUUGCUUCCCUCUGCUCUCGGAGGAGGAGGACUCGGUGGUCUGGCCCCACUCUACCUCUGGCCGUUUUUUGGUCAAAUCCUUGUACACCAAACUGAUUUCAGGCUCUCCUACUUCCAAGUUCAAGUGCAUAUGGAGUGCCCGCGUCCCACCUAAGAUCAAAAUUUUCCUGUGGCAAGCUUAUCAUGGGAAGCUUCCUGCAGCGGACCAAAUCCGGAAAAGGAACGGCCCGAGUUCGAAUAGAUGUGCCUUGUGUGGGGAUCUUGAAAACACGGAUCACAUUUUCUUCUGGUGCUCCUUGGCUAAAUUUGUUUGGUGCUGCAUCCGCUCCUGGCUCCAGGUGUCGUGGGACCCCUCUUCUUUCGAGGAUCUUAGGGGUUUGGUCAACGGUUUAUCUGGGAAUUCAAAAAGGAUCUCCUAG
rnacentral:rRNA from 1 species